CACGUAGGGGGGCGAGCGUUGUCCGGAUUCAUUGGGCGUAAAGGGCGCGCAGGCGCCCGGAAAGUCGGAUGUGAAAACUCGAGGCUCAACCUCGAGCGUGCACCCGAUACUGCCGGGCUUGAGGCAGGUAGGGGAGAUCGGAAUUCCUGGUGUAGCGGUGAAAUGCGCAGAUAUCAGGAGGAACACCGGUGGCGAAGGCGGAUCUCUGGGCCAUAACUGACGCUGAGGAGCGAAAGCAUGGGGAGCGAACAGG
rnacentral:rRNA from 1 species